ensembl:lncRNA
AAACAGUACCACAAAGCACUGGAGUCUCUGAAAAGCUCCUGGAUAGACUUGUCCCCGACUUCCAGCGAUCAGACUGUGACUUUGUGAUGGAGAGAUCACUGCUUUAACCGGUGCAUCGUGGGGGAGGCAAAUGCCACCAUCUCAGGGAUUGCUACCACAUUUCGCAAAAAUCUGUCAGACCACAAAGGGCACAUCCUGCAGACUUGCUCUGACUGCCUCCUGUGGACCGACACCUUCCGAAAUGGGGACGUCACUGGCAGAUACAUCCUGCAGUUCAGUGACUCCUCCACUUCUCAGCACAUCAAGUCAGGGUUUCAACCUGGAUUUUGACAUUCUCUCUUUGCUUGCAACGAGGACAGGGAAAAUCGAUCCCAAACAUGUGGAAAUUUUCAAGAAACAAGUUGGGUGCUUGAACUUCCCAGAGGACUACCACAGCUAUGAUGGCAAAACAGAACUGUGCCCCGAUGUCAAGGAGAGCACGCAGGAAUAAAGAGGAGGCAACGAGAUCCACAAAGCUGCAUGGAUUAAAAGAAAAUACAGAUGUCACACAGUGGAAAAUUGUGUUCUUAUGUUUUGUUUUGGAUUGGACUGUGUGUUGGUGUAUAGUGUCAAUUUUAGUUGCAUGAUCUUAUUGUAAUAAUUUUUAUUGCAUGAUUUUAUUCCAUAUUUAUACUGUGUUUUGUGUUGUUGUACAGUAUUCUUUUUUUAUUCCACUGUGGAUUGGACAGAUAAUUGCGUGCACCUGUGAGGUGGGGGCGUGCCCCCCCGAGGUGGCCUAUUGGCCGCCAAACUGACUUAAGGGAGAUAGUGAGCGCAAAGACAGGAGAAGAGACACACGGAAAGCGAAGAGCAGGAAACCGAACGUGUGCAGACGAGCGCAUGUAUAGAAGGACCGGCCUGCCUGUGCGGUGUCACGAGACUUCCGGCGAUCGGCCAGCAUAACCCGGCGAUUCAGUUCUGACGGACAGAAUAGCAACAGUGGGAGGCGACGCGUGAAAUCCACAGUAGGGCAGAGGGGACGCCUCUGCCUGCAUCCGUGAGUAUCGCUUUCCCACUGUUGGGCGCUAGGCGUGGUUUUACCGGGGAAGGGUAACAGUGGCUGUGCCGACUACGUUGCUGGCCCGUGUUUGUUGUUUUAGGGCCGGGCUACGAGGGAAGCCGUGUGCGGGUGCGGAGAGUGGCUGGACUGCACGGUCACGCGCCGCCAGGUGGGGAUAGGAGCCUCCUCCCUGGCCUUCUGCUGGCGAGAUUUUCCCAUCCCGGAAGAGGAGCUCCCCUUCUGUCUCUUUCAGCUAAGGAACAUUUGCCCGAGAGUGUGUGUGGUUGGACACUGGGAAUAGAGGACUCUGGGGGGGACGUUUUAUCGUAUAAAAAGGACAUUCAUUUAGCUUUGAUUUUUUUAAUUGUAUUUUAAUCUCUGCCGGCAGGGCUUUUUAGCGGGUUGGGAACAUUUAUUUUUUAUUGUAUAGUGGGGAUUUUAACUCCUACUUGUGAUUCUGGCUGUUCUUCUAAAAAAAUAAAUGGUGUGUUUAAAGCCGGCCCAGUGUCCGUACUCCGAGCGCUGAUUCACUCUCUCCCCUUAUGCUUGUAUGUAUAUAGACGUGGUGGCGAAGAUUUAGGUCACCAGUUUAGCGGCUACACAUACAGUGUUGUCGUAUGUGCUGUCUGUAUGCUCUGACGUCAUGAAUGCCAGGACAUCAAGUUAUAAAUGAUUUAAUCUCCUUUAAAUAUUUACUCACAAAACCUGUAACUGCAUCGUGUUGUGAAAACCACAUCGACAGCUGUUUUUGUCAUAUCAUAACGCAGUUACUAAAACUGUUUUUAUUAACAGUGCACUGUCAUACCUAUUAUUCACUGGAAACACAGAUGUGUUGAAUAUAAAAUAAAAAGAUAUUGUUAAAUGUUUUUCUUACUGUGGAAUGAAUCCAAUAUAUUCCACACUGUCAAAGUGGUGAGUACAUUUUAUAAAAGAUAAAAGAAGACAACUGCUUGCAUGUAAACACUGAUGCUACCAAUGUGCUUGUUUUGAUACAAAUAAACCCAGCACUUCCACUGGGGUCUAAAGUCGGC